CCUGCCUCCGCCUCCCCACCUACUGCAGUUAGGACUCGGCCUUCCACGGCGCUGGACGUGAUUUGCUGGAGGAAGAGGCAACGCAGCUGCUGGAAAGGGAAAUCACGCCUCGCUGAUCUACUAGAAUUCUUUCAGGGGCAUCAACAAAAAUGUGGACAGUGCAUCUGGCAUACUUGGACUUUCCGAAAGCCUUUGACAGGGUCCCUCACUGAAGGCUCUUAAGCAAAGCAAGCAGUCACAGGAUAAGAGGGAAGGUCGUCUCACGGAUCAGAAACUGGCUAAAAGAUUGGGAAUAACGGGUAGGAAUAAACAGUCAGUUUUCAGAACGGAGAGCGAUAAACUGCAGGGUCCCUCAAAGAUCUGUACUGGGACCGUGCUGGCUGGAGUAUGGAAGAGCUUGUGUACGAGGAGAGAUUAAAAAGACGGAACUGUUCAGCUUGGAAAAGAGGAUUACGGAGAAGGAGAUGAUGCAGGUCUAUCAAAUCAUGAAUGAAAGACAGAAAUCACAUGCCCAGUUGCGGGGCCGAGUAGCCACAGUUUUUGACCACGAAGACGACACCCAGGGCGGAGAGAGCCGCAACAACAGCCAAUGCCACCAGCAAAAUCAAUGCCAGCACCAUCUCAGGCAGAUCUUCACCACCUGCAAGAGGAAGAAGGGGGAAUAGAGCCAGACACAGUGGAGUCUUGGAUCCACAGACCCUCAUUACAGCCCAUGGCUGUGCCAAGUGGUGUUUCAGGCUCAGAAGGAGCAAUUAAGCCCCUUUAAGGUGUGAGAGCAUGAAAGAACUUGGGGAAGAUGACUGCCCAAGGCAGCCUGCUGCUUGGAGAUUGCCUCCAACAGGCUCAGCAUGUAAUCAGAGAACGCCAGAAGGAAUUUAAUACCUAGCUCUUUUCAUCUAUAGAUCUCCAGGUGCUUUAGAGAAGGUCAAUAUCAUCUCCAUUUUACAGAUGGGAAAAUGGAAGCACGUUAAAGGGACUUGGAAGAUCUGGGUGACCUUGCCCGUGUCCCCGUUCAGUGCUCUGUUCACUAGCCUACGCUGCCUUUUGGGCACUCUAGGCCAGAAAGCCAGAGCACCGGUUGCUCUUUCUGCGUUCAGGGAAGCAGGACUUUGUAGAUGGUAUAAACAAGGGUACACCUGACUCAUGUCACCCCAUCUCCUCAUAGAGGCAGCUCGGAAAGGCCCAAAAUAUCUGCUAGCCACUGGGGCCAGCAGCAGAUUCACAGCCGAAGGCCCAAAGGAGCCACUAUGACCUCAGAGUGAGCUGUAGCUCACGAAAGCUUAUGCUCUAAUAAAUUUGUUAGUCUCUAA